UGGGGAAUAUUGGACAAUGGGGGCAACCCUGAUCCAGCCAUGCCGCGUGUGUGAAGAAGGCCUUUUGGUUGUAAAGCACUUUAAGCAGUGAAGAAGACUCCAUGGUUAAUACCCAUGGACGAUGACAUUAGCUGCAGAAUAAGUACCGGCUAACUCUGUGCCAGCAGCCGCGGUAAUACAGAGGGUGCAAGCGUUAAUCGGAAUUACUGGGCGUAAAGCGAGCGUAGGUGGCUUGAUAAGUCAGAUGUGAAAGCCCCGGGCUUAACCUGGGAACGGCAUCUGAUACUGUUAGGCUAGAGUAGGUGAGAGGAAGGUAGAAUUCCAGGUGUAGCGGUGAAAUGCGUAGAGAUCUGGAGGAAUACCGAUGGCGAAGGCAGCCUUCUGGCAUCAUACUGACACUGAGGUUCGAAAGCGUGGGUAGCAAACA
rnacentral:rRNA from 1 species